AACGCGAAGAACCUUACCAGGUCUUGACAUCCCUCUGAUCGGUACAGAGAUGUAUCUUUCCUUCGGGACAGAGGAGACAGGUGGUGCAUGGUUGUCGUCAGCUCGUGUCGUGAGAUGUUGGGUUAAGUCCCGCAACGAGCGCAACCCUUAUAUUUAGUUGCCAGCACUUCGGGUGGGCACUCUAGAUAGACUGCCGGUGACAAACCGGAGGAAGGUGGGGAUGACGUCAAAUCAUCAUGCCCCUUAUGACCUGGGCUACACACGUACUACAAUGGCCGGUACAACGGGCUGCGAAAUCGCGAGAUGGAGCCAAUCCCAACAAAGCCGGUCUCAGUUCGGAUUGCAGGCUGCAACUCGCCUGCAUGAAGUCGGAAUUGCUAGUAAUCGCGGAUCAGCAUGCCGCGGUGAAUACGUUCCCGGGCCUUGUACACACCGACGCGUA
rnacentral:rRNA from 1 species